rnacentral:rRNA from 1 species
GCAAGUCGAGCGAAUGGAUUAAGAGCUUGCUCUUAUGAAGUUAGCGGCGGACGGGUGAGUAACACGUGGGUAACCUGCCCAUAAGACUGGGAUAACUCCGGGAAACCGGGGCUAAUACCGGAUAACAUUUUGAACCGCAUGGUUCGAAAUUGAAAGGCGGCUUCGGCUGUCACUUAUGGAUGGACCCGCGUCGCAUUAGCUAGUUGGUGAGGUAACGGCUCACCAAGGCAACGAUGCGUAGCCGACCUGAGAGGGUGAUCGGCCACACUGGGACUGAGACACGGCCCAGACUCCUACGGGAGGCAGCAGUAGGGAAUCUUCCGCAAUGGACGAAAGUCUGACGGAGCAACGCCGCGUGAGUGAUGAAGGCUUUCGGGUCGUAAAACUCUGUUGUUAGGGAAGAACAAGUGCUAGUUGAAUAAGCUGGCACCUUGACGGUACCUAACCAGAAAGCCACGGCUAACUACGUGCCAGCAGCCGCGGUAAUACGUAGGUGGCAAGCGUUAUCCGGAAUUAUUGGGCGUAAAGCGCGCGCAGGUGGUUUCUUAAGUCUGAUGUGAAAGCCCACGGCUCAACCGUGGAGGGUCAUUGGAAACUGGGAGACUUGAGUGCAGAAGAGGAAAGUGGAAUUCCAUGUGUAGCGGUGAAAUGCGUAGAGAUAUGGAGGAACACCAGUGGCGAAGGCGACUUUCUGGUCUGUAACUGACACUGAGGCGCGAAAGCGUGGGGGAGCAAACAGGAUUAGAUACCCUGGUAGUCCACGCCGUAAACGAUGAGUGCUAAGUGUUAGAGGGUUUCCGCCCUUUAGUGCUGAAGUUAACGCAUUAAGCACUCCGCCUGGGGGAGUACGGCC